rnacentral:rRNA from 1 species
GAGUUUGAUCCUGGCUCAGGAUGAACGCUGGCGGCGUGCCUAAUACAUGCAAGUCGAACGCUUUGUGGUUCAACUGAUUUGAAGAGCUUGCUCAGAUAUGACGAUGGACAUUGCAAAGAGUGGCGAACGGGUGAGUAACACGUGGGAAACCUACCUCUUAGCAGGGGAUAACAUUUGGAAACAGAUGCUAAUACCGUAUAACAAUGACAACCGCAUGGUUGUUAUUUAAAAGAUGGUUCUGCUAUCACUAAGAGAUGGUCCCGCGGUGCAUUAGCUAGUUGGUAAGGUAAUGGCUUACCAAGGCGAUGAUGCAUAGCCGAGUUGAGAGACUGAUCGGCCACAAUGGGACUGAGACACGGCCCAUACUCCUACGGGAGGCAGCAGUAGGGAAUCUUCCACAAUGGGCGAAAGCCUGAUGGAGCAACGCCGCGUGUGUGAUGAAGGGUUUCGGCUCGUAAAACACUGUUGUAAGAGAAGAAUGACAUUGAGAGUAACUGUUCAAUGUGUGACGGUAUCUUACCAGAAAGGAACGGCUAAAUACGUGCCAGCAGCCGCGGUAAUACGUAUGUUCCAAGCGUUAUCCGGAUUUAUUGGGCGUAAAGCGAGCGCAGACGGUUAUUUAAGUCUGAAGUGAAAGCCCUCAGCUCAACUGAGGAAUUGCUUUGGAAACUGGAUGACUUGAGUGCAGUAGAGGAAAGUGGAACUCCAUGUGUAGCGGUGAAAUGCGUAGAUAUAUGGAAGAACACCAGUGGCGAAGGCGGCUUUCUGGACUGUAACUGACGUUGAGGCUUGAAAGUGUGGGUAGCAAUCAGGAUUAGAUACCCUGGUAGUCCACACCGUAAACGAUGAGUGCUAGGUGUUUGAGGGUUUCCGCCCUUAAGUGCCGCAGCUAACGCAUUAAGCACUCCGCCUGGGGAGUACGACCGCAAGGUUGAAACUCAAAGGAAUUGACGGGGACCCGCACAAGCGGUGGAGCAUGUGGUUUAAUUCGAAGCAACGCGAAGAACCUUACCAGGUCUUGACAUCCCUUGACAACUCCAGAGAUGGAGCGUUCCCUUCGGGGACAAGGUGACAGGUGGUGCAUGGUUGUCGUCAGCUCGUGUCGUGAGAUGUUGGGUUCAACGAGCGCAACCCUUAUUACUAGUUGCCAGCAUUUAGUUGGGCACUCUAGUGAGACUGCCGGUGACAAACCGGAGGAAGGUGGGGAUGACGUCAAAUCAUCAUGCCCCUUAUGACCUGGGCUACACACGUGCUACAAUGGCGUAUACAACGAGUUGCCAACCCGCGAGGGUGAGCUAAUCUCUUAAAGUACGUCUCAGUUCGGAUUGUAGGCUGCAACUCGCCUACAUGAAGUCGGAAUCGCUAGUAAUCGCGGAUCAGCACGCCGCGGUGAAUACGUUCCCGGGUCUUGUACACACCGCCCGUCACACCAUGAGAGUUUGUAACACCCAAAGCCGGUGGGGUAACCUU